AUUGAACGCUGGCGGCAUGCUUUACACAUGCAAGUCGAACGGCAGCGCGGGCUUCGGCCUGGCGGCGAGUGGCGAGCGGGUGAGUAAUACAUCGGAACGUGCCCAGUAGUGGGGGAUAGCUCGGCGAAAGCCGGAUUAAUACCGCAUACGACCUGAGGGUGAAAGCGGGGGAUCUUCGGACCUCGCGCUAUUGGAGCGGCCGAUGGCAGAUUAGCUAGUUGGUGGGGUAAAGGCCUACCAAGGCGACGAUCUGUAGCUGGUCUGAGAGGACGACCAGCCACACUGGGACUGAGACACGGCCCAGACUCCUACGGGAGGCAGCAGUGGGGAAUUUUGGACAAUGGGCGAAAGCCUGAUCCAGCAAUGCCGCGUGUGUGAUGAAGGCCUUCGGGUUGUAAAGCACUUUUGGCGGGAACGAAAAGGACUGUGCCAAUACCACGGUUCGAUGACGGUACCCGCAGAAUAAGCACCGGCUAACUACGUG
rnacentral:rRNA from 1 species